UACAGAGGGUGCAAGCGUUAAUCGGAAUUACUGGGCGUAAAGCGCGCGUAGGUGGUUCGUUAAGUUGGAUGUGAAAUCCCCGGGCUCAACCUGGGAACUGCAUUCAAAACUGACGAGCUAGAGUAUGGUAGAGGGUGGUGGAAUUUCCUGUGUAGCGGUGAAAUGCGUAGAUAUAGGAAGGAACACCAGUGGCGAAGGCGGCAUCCUGGACCGGUAUUGACGCUGAGGCGCGAAAGCUAGGGUAGCAAACGGG
rnacentral:rRNA from 1 species